UACGUAGGGUCCGAGCGUUGUCCGGAGUUACUGGGCGUAAAGCGCGCGCAGGCGGCGGUGCUGGCCCGGCGUGAAAGCCCCCCGGCUCAACCGGGGGAGGGUCGUCGGGGACCGCACCGCUUGAGGGCGGUAGGGGCUGGUGGAAUGCCUGGUGUAGUGGUGAAAUGCGUAGAGAUCAGGCGGAACACCCGUGGCGAAGGCGGCCAGCUGGGCCGUCCCUGACGCUGAGGCGCGAAGGCGUGGGGGAGCGAACGGGG
rnacentral:rRNA from 1 species